ACACUCCUACGGGAGGCAGCAGUGGGGAAUUUUGGACAAUGGGCGAAAGCCUGAUCCAGCAAUGCCGCGUGAGUGAAGAAGGCCUUCGGGUUGUAAAGCUCUUUUGUCAGGGAAGAAACGGUGAGAGCUAAUAUCUUUUGCUAAUGACGGUACCUGAAGAAUAAGCACCGGCUAACUACGUGCCAGCAGCCGCGGUAAUACGUAGGGUGCAAGCGUUAAUCGGAAUUACUGGGCGUAAAGCGUGCGCAGGCGGUUUUGUAAGUCUGAUGUGAAAUCCCCGGGCUCAACCUGGGAAUUGCAUUGGAGACUGCAAGGCUAGAAUCUGGCAGAGGGGGGUAGAAUUCCACGUGUAGCAGUGAAAUGCGUAGAUAUGUGGAGGAACACCGAUGGCGAAGGCAGCCCCCUGGGUCAAGAUUGACGCUCAUGCACGAAAGCGUGGAGAGCAAACAGGAUUAGAUACCCGGGUAGUCCC
rnacentral:rRNA from 1 species